CACGUGAUCAUGAGCGUGCACUGUGUGCUUUCACGAUGGAGAUGAGCGACAGUGAAGACGCCAUUUUGUCAGAACUUCACAGGACAUUCAGGAAAGGUUACCACAGUUACACGUCUUUGUGGGAAUAAGGUCGAUGAACAAUUGGUCAUGGAACGAACAGGCCACAGAAGCUCGGCAGUAAGGCUGUACAAGAGAACUUCUGACGGUCUUCAGAAGGAGAUAUCGGACAUGCUGCAACCACCAGCACCAGACACGAAGGCCACAGGUACAUCUUCCCCACCAUCAAAGAAGAUUGCAAUCGAGACAGCAGAUAAUCAAGAUGCCGCUAAUGAACAGCGAAUCAAAUUUACAUGUACUAACUCCGUGGGAAACAUCAUUAAUAUCAGUUUGUAACAGGUCCAGAAUAAAUGACUAAAAU